UUAUACUAUCACACCAUUCUAAACACAUCUGAUCUCAUCUUAUUUCAGAAGCUUAGAAGGUUGGGUCCUGUUAGUUAUUCGAUGGGAGACCACUAGUGAUUACCAGAGAAGAAUUUU
rnacentral:rRNA from 1 species